rnacentral:lncRNA from 1 species
GUUGACUAUCUUUGCUUGUAUUGCUCUAUGUUAGGGAUCUUUUGUUCCAUUUUAGUAACAAUUUUGUUUAGGAGAAAAAGAAACUUGUUAUUGCAGUUCAUGCUUUGUAAAUGCUACUUUUCUGUUACGAUGGACACAUGGUAUGCCCUUGUUGGGUAGGUUUGGAUUGAAACAAUGAUCAUGGUAUGCCCCUGUAGGGCUGGUUUGGAUUGAAACGAUGAUCGGGUGCUUGAGCCAUGUUUAGUGAGAAGCUUGAAUGUAUUUUCUUUUCUGUUGUAUUUGGCCCUUUUCUUUUCAAGUAUGCCAGAAAUCAUCCUGGUUUUGUAAUAUGUGGUUUGUGCUCAAUUAUGGUUAAGGUUAAUGCUUGGCAUGCUUUCACUAAUUACUUGCAUUUUU